AUACGGAAGGUCCGGGCGUUAUCCGGAUUUAUUGGGGUUAAAGGGAGCGCAGGCGGAGAUGCAAGCGUGACGUCAAAUUUCGGGGCUCAACCCCGUCUCGCGUCGCGAACUGCGUCCCUUGGUUGCGGGAAGGGGAGGCGGAACUCGUGGCGUAGCGGGGAAAUGUAUAGAUAUCACGAAGAACUCCGAUCGCGAAGGCAGUCUUCCGGCCCGUCAACGACGCUCAUGCUCGAAGGUGCGGGUAUCAAACAGGAUUAGAUACCCUGGUAGUCCGCACAGUAAACGAUGGACACCCGCGGUUUGGCCUGUAUGGCUGAGCCGCCAAGCGAAAGCGUUAAGUGUCCCACCUGGGGAGUACGCCGGCAACGGUGAAACUCAAAGGAAUUGACGGGG
rnacentral:rRNA from 1 species